AGAGAUUUUAGCUGAAGAAUAAAAUUGGCUCUUGAACCUGAAGAAGAAUCUGCCUCUUCCUACCUCAUCCUGGCCCCUGUGCCUCGCCAGAGAGGUGUACUACAAAGAGAUUUUCCCUUCAGUAAGUGUGUCAGCCUCAGCCUUUUGUGCUGCUCAGUUACAUGCUCCCUCUGACAGAAAAAUAGGUGCAGAUGCAAAUUUGUGUCUUAAUAUGUGAGAACCAGAUAAAAUUAGAGCAAGACGUGGUAACAGUGUAAAUCAAAAUAUUUGAGCACAGACUCCUGCUUCAGGAUUUCCUUUAUCCACUAACCACAAGGGAAUGGCCUCCCAGGUACCUAAGCAUUUGCAAACUCAGGCCUGCUGAUGAAAAUCCAAGUUUCAUGUGAAAAUAACUGGAUGACAAUUUGCAAAUCUAAAAAAUGCAAAUCUAUUCCCUUCCCUGGAGUGGAGAAUGCAACAUCAGGGCAACUUGCAACUGAAGGAAUCAUGAAGGAUGUGCUGAAAAGUUCAUUUUGCAGACCUAUAUUUUCUCUUUCUCAAAUAUUUGCAUUUAAAACCAUAUUAAUAUCGUAAGUUUUUAUGGAAAAAAAAUCCUGGCAAAAAAGGGAAUUUGUUUACAAACAUUUACAGAUCAGCCUUGAAAGUGAUUUAAGGUCAGAUGGAAAUGCCAUUCUGCAGAGUACAAUUUGUACUCUUCACUCCAGAAAAAAAGUUACAGAAUGAAAAUGACCUGCUGGCUCUGACAAAUAACUUCCUGAUGAAUGACUGACACGAGAGGGAAGGGUACACUUUUGUUUCAUUAUUAACUUUUUCUUAACUCUUAAACAUAUAAUUUCCCCCUCAUUUUAAGUCCGAAACAACAUAAUUUCACAAAUGGAUGUUUUCUGGAGUAGGUUGGGUUCUUUUUUUUUACUAUUAUUUCAUAAUCUUCACAGAGUCUGCCAGGUGUUAAAGAUAUGCCCUCCUUUCCCAAAACACACAAUCCAAGACAGGUACUCCUAGCACCUUACACUGAGGUUGUUGAAGCUCAUAAGAACUGCCAAGCUGUCACUCACUUGAAGCCCAGCUCAAUAACCAGCCAAGUGAAAAGCUGCUUGACUUAAAAGUAUAAAUAAAAAAUAGACAGUGUGCAUCUAGUGUAGAAAUAUCAUGAAGUGUCCCUCUUUAAGCUCUGAAAACCACACAUGCAGACACUUCGCAGGCAAGAAGUGCUAUAAAUGCAGAGCAUAAAAGCACCACAGAUUAAAUACUGCCACGGUCUCCUGUGUGAAGCACUGCAGCACCCCUUAGAAAGGGUCCAGGCUGGGCUCAGCUUCAUGCCCCGAGGUCAUGAGUCAUUCUGGAGAUGGCGGUUUGCAUGUGAAAGGAGCCGUGUGUAAUUUCGGAUUUCGUAGAAGAGAGUCAUCUCCCUUUUACCUCCUCACCGAUUUCCUGCAUCGUGCCUCGGGCUGCAGCCUUCAGAGUUUGCCUUUCCCCAUCCCGUGCUGGAGUGACACAGGCUGCUCCAGUGUCUAUGGAGGAGGUGGGAGAAGAACAGUGGAAAACCCCAGGGAGUACAGCAAAGAGCAAAAAAGCCAACAAAAUAAGCAUUGAGGGCAUUUCCAAGCCAGUUUUCAGUAAAGAGCACUGAAAAACUCCAGUUGGAUUCACUGGGUAUCAUCACUGUGAUGGCCAGUAUUUGUAUUUCCAAUACGCCUACCUCAAUAAAAGGGAUGUUUCAUUUUCAGUUGAACUCAAAACAGUUAAGUUAAAUUAAAUAUAAUUAAAAACUUCAAGAGGUUUUAUGCUCAGAGAUAACUUUUACCUUCCAGCCAAAUACUUUUGACCUUUCAGCAAAUGAGGGCAGCAUAACAGACAUGGUAGAAAAAAGAAUCUACACAGAGAUGCUCACCCCUCUAAUAGUCCUGUUUUCCUUACGUCCUUCUUAUAAGCAGGACAUCAACCUUUGCUAGCAGAAGGUAUUCUAGACCUGAACGCUGUAGCAUCAUUAGCUUUUCACAACCUGAAGUUCCAUUACCAAAAAAAACCCAACAAAACCACAG